rnacentral:lncRNA from 1 species
UGUGACGGCUGAAACAUUACGCAGUCGUUUCUCCUUGACAAGAAAAGAAGCCCGUGACAUUGUUACUCAAUGUCAAAGCUGCUGUGAGUUCUUGCCAGUUCCUCAUGUGGGAAUUAACCCACGCGGUAUUCGACCUCUACAGGUCUGGCAAAUGGAUGUUACACAUGUUUCUUCCUUUGGAAAACUUCAAUAUCUCCAUGUGUCCAUUGACACAUGUUCUGGCAUCAUGUUUGCUUCUCCGUUAACUGGAGAAAAAGCCUCACAUGUGAUUCAACAUUGUCUUGAGGCAUGGAGUGCUUGGGGGAAACCCAGACUCCUUAAGACUGAUAAUGGACCAGCUUAUACGUCUCAAAAAUUCCAACAGUUCUGCCGUCAGAUGGACGUAACCCACCUGACUGGACUUCCAUACAACCCUCAAGGACAGGGUAUUGUUGAGCGUGCGCAUCGCACCCUCAAAACCUAUCUUAUAAAACAGAAGAGGGGAACUUUUGAGGAGACUGUACCCCGAGCACCAAGAGUGUCGGUGUCUUUGGCACUCUUUACACUCAAUUUUUUAAAUAUUGAUGCUCAUGGCCAUACUGCGGCUGAACGUCAUUGUUCAGAGCCAGAUAGGCCCAAUGAGAUGGUUAAAUGGAAAAAUGUCCUUGAUAAUAAAUGGUAUGGCCCGGAUCCUAUCUUGAUAAGAUCCAGGGGAGCUAUCUGUGUUUUCCCACAGAAUGAAGACAACCCAUUUUGGGUACCAGAAAGACUCACCCGAAAAAUCCAGACUGACCAAGGGAAUACUAAUGUCCCUCGUCUUGGUGAUGUCCAGGGCGUCAAUAAUAAAGAGAGAGCAGCGUUGGGGGAUAAUGUCGACAUUUCCACUCCCAAUGACGGUGAUGUAUAAUGCUCAAGUAUUCUCCUGCCUUUUUACCACUAACUGGGAACUGGGUUUGGCCUUAAUUCAGACAGCCUUGGUUCUGUCUGGACAGGUCCAGAUGACUGACACCAUUAACACUUUGUCAGCCUCAGUGACUACAGUCAUAGAUAAACAGGCCUCAGCUAAUGUCAAGAUACAGGGAGGUCUCAUGCUGGUUAAUCAACUCAUAGAUCUUGUCCAGAUACAACUAGAUGUAUUAUGACAAAUAACUCAGCAGGGAUGUGAACAAAAGUUUCCGGGAUUGUGUGUUAUUUCCAUUCAGUAUGUUAAAUUUACUAGGGCAGCUAAUUUGUCAAAAAGUCUUUUUCAGUAUAUGUUACAGAAUUGGAUGGCUGAAUUUGAACAGACCCUUCGAGUUCAGGUCAACUCCACGCGCUUGGACCUGUCCCUGACCAAAGGAUUACCCAAUUGGAUCUCCUCAGCAUUUUCUUUCUUUAAAAAAUGGGUGGGAUUAAUAUUAUUUGGAGAUACACUUUGCUGUGGAUUAGUGUUGCUUCUUUGAUUGGUCUGUAAGCUUAAGGCCUAAACUAGGAGAGACAAGGUGGUUAUUGCCCAGGCGCUUGCAGGACUAGAACAUGGAGCUCCCCCUGAUAUAUGGUUAUCUAUGCUUAGGCAAUAGGUCGCUGGCCACUCAGCUCUUAUAUCCCAUGAGGCUAGACUCAUUGCACGGGAUAGAGUGAGUGUGCUUCAGCAGCCCGAGAGAGUUGCAAGGCUAAGCACUGCAAUGGAAAGGCUCUGCGGCAUAUAUGAGCCUAUUCUAGGGAGACAUGUCAUCUUUCAUGAAGGUUCAGUGUCCUAGUUCCCUUCCCCCAGGCAAAACGACACGGGAGCAGGUCAGGGUUGCUCUGGGUAAAAGCCUGUAAGCCUGAGAGCUAAUCCUGUACAUGGCUCCUUUACCUACACACUGGGGAUUUGACCUCUAUCUCCACUCUCAUUAAUAUGGGUGGCCUAUUUGCUCUUAUUAAAAGAAAAAGGGGGAGAUGUUGGGAGCCGCCCCCACAUUCGCCGUUACAAGAUGGCGCUGACAUCCUGUGUUCUAAGUGGUAAACAAAUAAUCUGCGCAUGUGCCAAGGGUAUCUUAUGACUACUUGUGCUCUGCCUUCCCCGUGACGUCAACUCGGCCGAUGGGCUGCAGCCAAUCAAGGAGUGACACGUCCGAGGCGAAGGAGAAUGCUCCUUAAGAGGGACGGGGUUUUCGUUUUCUCGCUCUCUUGCUUCUUGCUCUCUUGCUUCUUACACUCUGGCCCCCAAAAAGAUGUAAGCAAUAAAGCUUUGCCGCAGAAG